ensembl:lncRNA
UUCAUUUCAAAGGUUUAUUUGCAUGACGCACAAACACACAAUUGAAAGGUACAAAUGUGCAUGACACGAAUUCAAACGUGCUGCAGAUGUGUGUCACCAGUUGAUCUGGCUGUAGGCUGUGGCACUUGGCCAGAGGUGGCGCUGGUUGACUCGACUCCAUGUUGGUGCACAGAGCAAACUGCUCGCUUUAGUUGUGGAGCAAAAACGCUGAAUUCGGUGACAUAAACCGUGCGAGUGGAACGAUAACGACGACAAGAGUCUCCCGAUCGUUUACUCUUUGUGUCCUGUGAACAACAACGGCGUGGUGUUACUUGUUUGCUGUUUUCGCGAUCGCGUCGCGCAUGAGGAUAUCACCAGCAGCUCCUGAAACGCAAGACUGCCACACAUCUGUUCGACCAACGCCAGUUGAUCUAAACGCCAGUUGAUCUGGAACAACGGCAGAUGCUUUUGGACCUUCGUUUUUCUCAAUCUCAUGACUCGGACUCACGAUGGACCUUUGGAGGCGCCAGCUUGAUGCGCUCGGUCUCAAUCACCAGCGUAUCCUGCCUGCCGCAAGAAACGCUACAGGAAGCGGGGUAAACGGAGCGGCAUUCGUGUCCGCCUUAAGGCUUAUUUUCGAGCUCAAGCUUUGGCUGAUCCAUAUGCUACCAUGGACCUUCUACCUACCUCUUCCUGCUCCCGGCACCGGCUUUCUACUCGAUCACUCAGCUGUCGGUGGAUUUGCUUCGCCGGGCAGCUAGACUACCCCGCCCUCCCAGAGGCAUGCCUACCUAUUCGGACCAUUGACUGUAGAAAACAUGGACGACGCGACAGCUCCCCAAAAAUGAAGCCAAAACGUCUCUAUCGCCCCCUGGUGUCUUGCUGCAGUAUAGGUCAUAAACCCCGCCUCCUCCAUGUUAGCGGAUGGGACUGGGGUCAGACUAAAACAAAUUAAUUCUCCUUAGAUAAUUUUUUUUUCCAAAGAUUCUUUCUUUUGUUUUCAAUAGUUCUCAUCACGCUGAUUGAUGUCCAAGGGGUCUCCUCUCCCAUAAGUUUGAUUCUAAUUCCUACCGCGGUGAUGUUAAAUUGGGGUGAAACGUCAUCAUAAGAGCUUUGACUGACAGCUGCAGUCACGGAAAAACUUGCGUAUCUCUGUUCGGGAAUAGCAGAUAGAGCGUAGGCUCUGAGAGGACGCCCAGCGUUUACAGUACGAAAACACGACCGAGUGUUUUAACCUGACAGCCUGAGGUGUUCUUCAGUAAACUGGACUACCCGACAGAAGGACCCGAGGCCCCGCUGCACUUUUUCGGUUUCAUUUCUAAGUAGCCACGAUGCCAGAGAGCGAUAGACCUCAAUACACUUGGAUGUCUCUUUUAUUAAGUAAGAAAGUGAUUUUGGACUGUUUUGCACACAUCUGCAGCUGCUGCAUGGUGUCAUUUGUAACUGCAACCAUAUCGGCCUUUUUCAGGCUGUAUCUCUGUGAGCUUCUUCAUCAUGUUUAUUGUUCAGGGGAUAAUUGGUAAGUAGGAGUUGUCCUUUACUCAGACUGAAUUCAUUUACAUUCAUUUAUGUGUUGGAAGGAAAAUUUGAAAAAUCAAAUAACAUGAAUGUGUAACAACAACUUGACGGUCGUCUUCGUUUUCAUACUUGUGCUCUGUAGGAUGCAUAUACAUUCACGACUGUCCAGCGGAUCCCUUCAUUCCUAUCGCAAUGGUUAUUUCUGGAUUCAUUUCUUUCUUCUGGGCAUUGAGCUGGUGUAAGAAUGGAUGCAGAAUUUUCUGCUACUGUAUCAUCUCCAUUCUCUUUUUUAUCUGGUUCGUAGGUACUGUACAUGUCUACUGCAACUACAUCCUGAACCAUACUCCAGAAACCGAUCUCAAAUGCAACAUGUAUUUCCACCUGUUUGCAUUUUGGUGCAGUAACGUGACCUACAUCCUGAUAGCCAUUCAUAUUUCCUGUCUUAUUACUGCUUGCUGCAACAACCGGAUGGAGGCUUACGAGAUUUCUGAUGAGGCUCGGCCACUGCUGUGGCGCUAAUCAUAUCACAUAUGUAUGUAUGUAUGUAUGUAUGUAUGUAUGUAUGUAUGUAUGUAUGUAUGUAUGUUUGUUUGUUUGUUUGUUUGUUUGUUUGUAUGUUUGUUUGUUUGUUUGUUUGUUUGUUUGUUUGUUUGUUUCCCAUCUCCCCUUAGACAAGUGGACCAAUACUGAUGAGAAAGAUUAGAAUGGGGUCACAAUAAAAUAUAUCACACAGUAAUAAACAUAUACUACUACAACUACAAAUAAUAAUGACACUGACUAAAAUAAAAUCAUAAGCAAACAACAGGAAAAAUAUACUAAUAUUUUCAUGUGUGCUUUAUUUAGAACAUCAUAUAUUUAAUGUUGGUUAAUCUAGCAACAUGUAGUUUUUGAUCUUUUGUUAGAGAAAUCUUAUGAUUAACAAUUCAUGUUUAAUCUUUAGAGGUAGAGAUUUGAUAGGGUGUUCUUUUCUAAUAUUUUCAUGUGUGUGCGCAUGCACGGGUAUGUUGGUAUGGGUAUAUAUAUAAUUGUAGGUUGUGUAUCCUUGAGGUGUUAAUGGGGUUAUUGAAAAUGUGUAUAUGUGCGUAUGUGUGUAUAUACGUAUGUAUGGAUAGAUAGAAACAUAUAUGUGUAUAUAUUUAAAAAAAAUUACACAUUACAUAUAAUGUAAUUGCAAGGAGGUAUUUCUGUAGUCUAUUGAUACUAGAUAGUGGAAAAGGGGUGGGAUUAAAUAAGCUUAUGCUUCUUCCUGCUCCUUUUUGAACAUGGACGUUAUUUGGAGUUGUGGUUGCUCGUUUUCCUUUUGUUUGCUUUGUUCAUUUGUCUCUUUUAAUUCUAUUUUUUUUAUACUUUUUCAACAUGUUCAAAAUAAAGAAUCAAUCAAUCAA